UUUGUUUGUCCAGGUUCACGCUGGCGACGAGUAGGAUGCGUUGCAUUCGACCUGUCUCUUUUUAAUGAUCAGCGUUGAGGGCGACUGCAAUCUCGUGUCGCGUGAAUUUUGGAACAUUAUUUAGUAAUUUUAUCGAUCCUAUGGUUGUUAGAUUACCGUAGCAGUGACCUUCCUUUUCUCUUUGAGUGGCGGGUGGACGUGGGCACCAGACUUACCUUCUCUCUUAU